UGGGUUGCCCAGUUAACAUUACACACGAGGAAACUGGCAACUGGGUGCGAAAGGGACUAAUGAAGACUUUCCUUCAAGAUGUCUUCCUGGAUAUGCCUAU